CGCCAAAAGCGGUACCAUUUGUGCUCGCAGUUUUUUUUUUCAUCGUGUUAAAGCGCUCUAAUAUUUGCUGCAUUCAACAGGUAUAUAGUUAUUUUCAACGGCGUGUGGCGUGCCAUCAGCGUAAGGAGGUUUGAAGUUCCCACAUGUGCGCACUUUUGGUGCGCUACAGUUUCGAGUUCGCGUUGUUUCCUUCACAAAAGGCGCGCUCGUCUCUGUUAUUCUAUCGUCGGAAAGGAAACCUUUGUCUUGGUUUGUACUGGCGUUCUGUAUGUGCCGCCGUAUUUAAAAUUUUCAGCACCUGAAACGAUACCAGCUGUGCAAGGGGUUUUAGUUAUUUUGAAAUGCUCUCCAAUAUAAUACUCUGCUUUCAACUGCAAUAUAGUUAUGUUUAACGGCGUAUUGUGUGCCAGACUUGCGCGCGCUUUUGCUAGGCUGUAGGGCUGUUUUGCUCACAAACCUUUGUCUUCGUUUUCGUUGGCGUUCGGAAUGUGACGCCGUUUAAAAAUCGUACUGUACCUUUAAACGGUGCCAGUUGUGCAAGCAGUAUUUUGUUGCUUUGAAAUAAUGUAAUAUUUGUGUCCUUCAACGGAGAUAUAGCUAUGUUAGUGAACGGAUUAGUGAAACCAUUGAUCACUUUCUAUGAUGCCACCACCCAAAAAGUGAUUCUGUAGCACUUUUCUGCUUAAGGUCGUUUGAUCCUCGGAAUUCAAGUUGGCAGAUGGUGCAAGUGAGCAUGCAUGCGACUAGUCCGCAAUGUGACAAGAGUGUAAUACGGCCGCUGAUGAUGAUGAAUUUUUAUGGUGCAAUGGCAACUUUGACUAAGGUGUGCCAUGGCUCAUGCUAUUUUUCUCAUCACAACGUGACGUGUAAUAACUAUUUUCCAAGUGUUCCCAGAUAUUCCGCAGAUAUGCCGAGCAGAAGGCCAGGGGAAGCUUGUACCCGUGGUAUCACUGGUGGGUACCCAGCCGCACUGGAGAUAGAACCUCGCACCACCCAUAUAUGAGGCAUAUGCUUAAAUCACUAAGCCACUGCUGCGGUAAAAAAAGCAACACUAGUAUAGCGAAACUUCGUCAAACAUUAGUGGUGAACACUUAUGCUACAGUGGGCGAUUUUUAAGAAGGAGCAAUAUCUGUAAAACAUUUAUGAAUAGCCUUGAGGCACCAAAUUUCAACAUUUAGAACCUGUAUAACUUCUCGAAUGUAUUUUGGACAUUACAACGAAUCUAGGUACAAGCUCAAGAGUAGCUUCACUACUGUUAUAUUUAGGAUUGUUUUCUCCUCCUCUUGGUACAGGGCACUUAUUGGUAAUAACGCAGACUAUAGGAGCAAUGCUAAGAAAAAAUCAAGGAAAGUGAGCCCAAAUAUACUCAGUUUGACAAAAAAAAUCAUGGAGUCUGAGUGGAACCUUUAGGUCAAUGUGGAUAUGACGAGACCUCUACUUAAAGAGAGGGAAAUGUUGGCUUAGAGGAACAUAGUUUAUCCUUCACGGAUUCUAAAUUUUUGAAGACUGAGGAAAGUACAAGAUGGAUUGAAAUAUUAGAAAGUGAUUAUGAUCAAGUUAUUUCUUUUGUCUGGAAUGGACAUAUGCCAAAUGCAGAAUCCAGGUGCGUUGAGAACUUUAAUAAAAAGUUAGCAGUAUUGCCCAUUUCUACUGCAUUGUCUUCCUGUGUAGCAUAUUUACACUUCACAUUUUACGGCGGUGGCCUAAUCCAUGCAUGCAGUUUUUAGGCUUUGUCUCAACGCCAUAGAUGCCUGAAUAUUAGAAAAGCAACAGCGUUGCUUCUGUGUAAAUCCGAUUGAAUGAAUUCUGCACCAAGAAAUAGCGUGGGCAUUGAAAAUCCAGAAUAUCUUUUCUAUACACUACAAAUGACCUAAGUUGACAAAUAGUACGGGUAGACAUCUACCUACGGAAAAGAGGAUCUUACAGUCUUCAUUUUGCUCUGCAAAGAUUAGAAAACCAGAAAAAUGUGGGUGUGCUCAUUUCCCAGGCCUCGUCAUAUAUCACAACCUAAAGGUUAGAAAGGCAGAAAAUGCUGGUAUGCAUGUUUAAUAGCGCACUACAUAUUUCACAGUAGGCUACAAAACGAGAAAACGUUGCUGCCGAAGUUUUACACGCCAGUGUAUUUUUAACGGCUUAAAGGCUUGAAAACACAAAAUUGGUGCAGCAUAGA